GGAUAGCUCACUUGGUUAGAGCAUGGUGCUGAUAACGCCAAGGUUGCAAGUUCAAAUCCCUGUAUGGGACAGCUACA